GCGGGCCGCGCCACGCCUCUGGCACGCGCUUCGCCGCGCGCAGGUGCGUCGCCCCGUGGCAAAGUGGGAUGAAGGGCGUGGGCUGUGGUUUCAGUGAGCUCCUCCAGUUUGCGUUACUCAUUUUCUUUUCGCACCUGGAUGGGGUUUACCCACCACUGAAUGCGGGGCUGGAAACCAACAGAAAGAGUGCGAAGUCUGCGAAGGUUUCUGAAAUGGAGAAAAUGCCAACAUCAUCAAAGGGUUACCUUGUGAAAACUGCCAAGAAGUUAUUAUCAAAGAUAAUAGAACUCUCCUAGUUCAAUCCAGAAGAAGAAAUUAAACUUCUGUGUAAGUUUGGAGCUUACCUUGAUUAUAAAGAACUCUCUGGAAAAGGACGUGGCAAAGUGGAAAAACAAAUCCUAAACUUAGGAAAAGAAUGGGAGACACAGGGAGAAGGAGAAAAAUCUAACCUCUGUAAAACAGAAGAACCUGGAUGUCUAUGUGGGGAAACCCCUCCUG
rnacentral:lncRNA from 1 species